GCUCCGCAGGCCGCGAAAGAGAGCCCGUUACCUGGACCCCUACUCGCGCGGGUAGAGCGAAACUGAGCACCCUGGGAUGCGAGCAGCUUUUUAGUACUCCCGGGUCCAAAAUCUCACCACCAGGCCGGGAUGAUCAAAACGUCUGCCGGGUCUGCAGCCUACAAACGUGGAUCUGCCGACACUGUGCUGUCGACGACAUGUCCGGCAAGGCACCUCCUUGCGUGAAAGCAAGGAACGCUUUUUUUUUUUAGAAAGGAAGCUUCUUCUCCAAAAUUUAAAAUUUUUGAAAAUUAUUCCUUCUGAAAAUAUCAUCGUUCGUAUUUGCUCCACGCUAUCAGACUUCCGCUCAUCUAUACAAAAACAUAUAGGGUACCCCGUAAGAAGGCCUUAGGCCUGUGGGAAUUCCCUAUUAAAAAUUUAAUAAAUAAUAAUAAUAAUAAUCGCGUUCUUGACCUCGAAGCUGACUGCUGAAUGCGAUUAGGAAAGAAGAUUCCUGAAGAUACACCAGACUGAUUCUGGCAAGCCGUCUGUCGUCUAGAUAUGCAGUUGUUCGUCAUGCAUGGUCAGCAAUCUUCCUCGUUCGUCCUUUCGUUUUCCUGACCACGAUGAUGACAAGCAGCUCUCAUGCUCAGGAUUGCCAUCUGUUGAUGAAUACCACUCUGAGGCACUCUCACGAGCGAAGGUGUUUGAAAAUCCAUGUCGGAAUGAUGGUCAUGUUGGCCUAAAGGUGCAUUACAUUGCCGAUACUCGCCACCUCCACCCUGGAACAUGUUCAAUUUCUGUUUCUCGUAUGGAAGGACCGAACAGGUUGUUUUCCUGUCUCAGUGGACCACUCAAGACUGAACAGCACUGAUGGAAGAAGAUUUGCCGUGAAUCUCGUUCACAUAAUCAGCCUGUUUAAUUGCUGUACUGAGGUGACUGCUUCAUAACAAUGACCAUGCAGCAUUAAUUUUGGAUAGUAUUGCAGUGCCCCUAAAAUUGGAGAAUAUCGAAUUUCUCUGAUAGCAUUGUGAUUCAUUUGUGAAUAAACAUCACUACUCUUUUUGAGUAGCAUAGCAAUGACAGAGUUGGUUUAAUGUAUGACAAAAUGGAGCCGCUUUUUAA